ensembl:lncRNA
CCACAGUACUGGUUGCUUUCUGGUCUAUGCUAGCUUAUGGAGAAAAUGGCACAUUGCUCAUCAUCUGAGGAUGUACUGAGCCAACCUAACUACAGUGCUGAACUGAAUUAAACAAUAUUUUGGAGGAACGAACAUGUAGACCAAAACCACAAACAUCAUAAGAACAAUUUAUGGUUGCCUGGCAAAAUUUAGAAAUUGGACAAAGUCUUCGUGUGGAUAUCAGAAGGAAAAGUAAUAAGGUCAAGCAUAGAUGCUGCUUAUAGGAAGACACACGAGAAGUGGCUGAAGUGCCCUGGUUUGUUCAACUUAGAAGAGACUGAAGAGAAACCUAAUUAUGGCUUCCUCACAACGGGGAGCAGGAAGGCAGGUGUUCUUUUCCUCUCUGUUUACCAGCAAUGGAACCUAACAGAAUGUCAUGAAGCUAAGAUAAGAGAGGUUCAGGCUGGAUAUCAGGAAAAGGUUCUUCACUGAGAGAGUGGUCAGGC